rnacentral:rRNA from 1 species
UACGUAGGGUGCGAGCGUUAAUCGGAAUUACUGGGCGUAAAGCGUGCGCAGGCGGUUUUUUAAGACAGCUGUGAAAUCCCCGGGCUUAACCUGGGAACUGCGGUUGUGACUGGAAGACUGGAGUGUGGCAGAGGGGGGUGGAAUUCCACGUGUAGCAGUGAAAUGCGUAGAGAUGUGGAGGAACACCGAUGGCGAAGGCAGCCCCCUGGGUCAACACUGACGCUCAUGCACGAAAGCGUGGGGAG